rnacentral:rRNA from 1 species
CGGGUAGUCCAGCUGUAACGAUGCAGACUCGGUGAUGCAUUGGCUUGUGGCCAAUGCAGUGCCGCAGGGAAGCCGUUAAGUCUGCCGCCUGGGAAGUACGUACGCAAGUAUGAAACUUAAAGGAAUUGGCGGGGGAGCACCACAAGGGGUGAAGCCUGCGGUU